rnacentral:rRNA from 1 species
GAUGAACGCUGGCGGCGUGCCUAAUACAUGCAAGUCGAGCGAACGGACGAGAAGCUUGCUUCUCUGAUGUUAGCGGCGGACGGGUGAGUAACACGUGGAUAACCUACCUAUAAGACUGGGAUAACUUCGGGAAACCGGAGCUAAUACCGGAUAAUAUUUUGAACCGCAUGGUUCAAAAGUGAAAGACGGUCUUGCUGUCACUUAUAGAUGGAUCCGCGCUGCAUUAGCUAGUUGGUAAGGUAACGGCUUACCAAGGCAACGAUGCAUAGCCGACCUGAGAGGGUGAUCGGCCACACUGGAACUGAGACACGGUCCAGACUCCUACGGGAGGCGGCAGUAGGGAAUCUUCCGCAAUGGGCGAAAGCCUGACGGAGCAACGCCGCGUGAGUGAUGAAGGUCUUCGGAUCGUAAAACUCUGUUAUUAGGGAAGAACAUAUGUGUAAGUAACUGUGCACAUCUUGACGGUACCUAAUCAGAAAGCCACGGCUAACUACGUGCCAGCAGCCGCGGUAAUACGUAGGUGGCAAGCGUUAUCCGGAAUUAUGGGCGUAAAGCGCGCGUAGCGGUUUUUUAGUCUGAUGUGAAAGCCCACGGCUCAACCGUGGAGGGUCAUUGGAAACUGGAAAACUUGAGUGCAGAAGAGGAAAGUGGAAUUCCAUGUGUAGCGGUGAAAUGCGCAGAGAUAUGGAGGAACACCAGUGGCGAAGGCGACUUUCUGGUCUGUAACUGACGCUGAUGUGCGAAAGCGUGGGGAUCAAACAGGAUUAGAUACCCUGGUAGUCCACGCCGUAAACGAUGAGUGCUAAGUGUUAGGGGGUUUCCGCCCCUUAGUGCUGCAGCUAACGCAUUAAGCACUCCGCCUGGGGAGUACGACCGCAAGGUUGAAACUCAAAGGAAUUGACGGGGACCCGCACAAGCGGUGGAGCAUGUGGUUUAAUUCGAAGCAACGCGAAGAACCUUACCAAAUCUUGACAUCCUUUGACAACUCUAGAGAUAGAGCCUUCCCCUUCGGGGGACAAAGUGACAGGUGGUGCAUGGUUGUCGUCAGCUCGUGUCGUGAGAUGUUAGGUUAAGUCCCGCAACGAGCGCAACCCUUAAGCUUAGUUGCCAUCAUUAAGUUGGGCACUCUAAGUUGACUGCCGGUGACAAACCGGAGGAAGGUGGGGAUGACGUCAAAUCAUCAUGCCCCUUAUGAUUUGGGCUACACACGUGCUACAAUGGACAAUACAAAGGGCAGCGAAACCGCGAGGUCAAGCAAAUCCCAUAAAGUUGUUCUCAGUUCGGAUUGUAGUCUGCAACUCGACUACAUGAAGCUGGAAUCGCUAGUAAUCGUAGAUCAGCAUGCUACGGUGAAUACGUUCCCGGGUCU